GAGGGUGCAGCUCAGUGGUAGAGCUCACGCUUAGCAUGCGGAGGCCCUGGGUUUGAUUCCCAGUACCUCCA
rnacentral:tRNA from 1 species